GCGCCUGCCGCGGCUCCGCCUACGUCCAGACUCCGCCCGGCUACCGGAGUUGCGCAAUCCGUAGCCGGGAUCUUGAAAGGGAUGCUGGACAUUCCUCAUGAGAAGCCUGGGGAAGAGACUAAAAAGACAGCCAAAGUUUUCCUGCUGCCUGCUGCCAAGGUUCUGAAGGGCCCAGCUGUUGGGUUAGACUCCCCCCGGGAUCCCUGGGGAGAAGGGAUUGAUCUCUAGAGGUGUCAACUAGCCAACCUCCUUCUGCACACCAGGCAUCUCACAUAAAUAGACUCAGAAGAAGGAGCUACCACAGACUUGAGAGUGAGCCAAUAUGUCGUUUAAAAAGUUCUUGUUUGGAAACAGAAAUCUGAACAAAUCAGCUCAGACAAAACAGGGAAUUUAUUGGCUCACGUGAGAUGGAAAUACAGGAAUGCUGCGGGCUUCAGACGCCAGGUUAUCAACCCCAGUGGAAAAGAGGUACUCUGAUUCCCCUGGCAGAAGAGUUCUAGGGAGGACUUAGACUUGCAUUGCUGGACUAGCCAAAGAAAACUGCACUACUGCAUGUCACUUUGUUUACUGCAAAGAGCAUGUGGUAACUGAUGUUACUUGUACUCUGUUUUCUAGUUUUCUUCUCCCUCCUUUUUUGUGGUCUGGAUGUAGAUCCUUAAAUCUCCUUAAACAUAUUAUGUGUUUUUUAUUUCUAUGUCACUAAUCAUGGCUCCCCUUACAUCACAGGCCCAUCUUUGAACCAUUCACUGUGGGCAAAGAGAGGAGCACACUGGUUAGCCUGGGUCACAUGACUGCUCUCCAGUUGGGAGGAGGUACAUUAUCAUUCACAGUUCUACCAGGAUCAUGUAAACUAGGGAGGAUGCAGGCUGUAGACAAACAACAUACAUCUACUGUACCUAUUCCUGUGUUGUAUCUUUCUGUUGAGAAAUGUCUUGUUGACUAAACUCAUUCCUUCUGGCUGCAGUUCAAUCCCUUUCCUCUUCUGCCAGCCAGUCAGAAUCUUUUCAUGAUUUUCCCUUAAUAAAAGGCAACAGUUAAACCCUUGAAGGUUCUUGAGAUGUUUCAUUAUUUUGUAACUUUUACAAAUUAAACAAUGAGAAAAACAAUCCCCAUUACUACUAAGUUUUCCUAGGCAAAAUUUCUAAAUCUCUUGUUAUCUUCAUAGAUCUGAUAGAAAGUGUUUUUUCUUUCUUGUCUUUUUCUAGUGCAGGAUUCCAAAUGGAGCUAAUGUGAAGGAUA